GUGGGCAACACAUAUACUAAAAUUGGAACAAUGCAGAGAAGAUUAGCGUGGCCCCACACAAGGCUGAUGCGCAAAUUUGUGAAAUGUUCCAUUUUUUU
rnacentral:snRNA from 1 species